UUGCUAUCUGCAAUAUAAAAGAUUCGAACCUGCAGCAGGUUCGAGUCGAACGAAGUGAGACAACGGAGCCGCCUGCGGCGACGGCCCGAAGGGCGAGGCAAAGCCGAGUCAUCCUGCACGACCCACCA
rnacentral:sRNA from 1 species